UAUAGCACAUGUAAUCGAUCCUACAUCCGAAGCAUAUGGGACACAAUUCAUGAUGUCUCACAUAAAGACUAAACCAGUCUUUUGCUAUAACAUUUCCAUUUCAAUUUGCCAAGUUCUCAUAAUUCAGAUUAUGAAAAGGGAUGCCGUAAUCAUAAUCAAAUUUUAGAACGCAAAUAAUGAACCCAUAUACAAAAUUUCCUUAUGUUGAGCCAUUCCAACAUGAAAUUCAUAUAUAUUCUUGACUAAAUUUGAUUAAAAUCUCAAUCUAAUCUUUUAGAAUUGAAAUGAAGUAUAAUUUCCUCUCCCUUAAUUAUAGCAAAACAACUUUUUCAACCCCUACAACCUCACGAAUUGAAACUUUUGUUUUUUAUAAUUANACAACUUUUUCCCAAUUGAAACUUUUGUUUUCUAUAAUUAACAUUGCUAGCUUGCAAUACUUAUCAUAAUUAUCAUGCUCCCACUAACAUGAUGAUUAUUAGCAUAACACUUAUGCUCCCACUA
rnacentral:lncRNA from 1 species